rnacentral:lncRNA from 1 species
UCUACGGUGUCUGAAUAUCCUUAGAUAACUCUCAUGCCCAGAAGGAGUUCAAUACUACUAUGUUUCUUAUUUGGGUAAAGUUCAGAUCACCACCUGGGGUUUGGGGUCUUUCCCACUUAACCACCUGUAGUCAGUAAAGCUACAUUUAAACUCUCGACUUUUUGAGUUGAAGUGAAAACGUCACUUUUUCCAUCCAACUUAACCGUGCGUGUAUGUCAAAUGCCAAAAGCUCGUGAGAAGAGGCUGUAACGAUAAAAAAGACUGGUAAAUGUCUGAAAUACCCCCUUCUUGAUUACAGGUGGUUAAGUGAGAAAGACCCCAAACCCCAGGUGGUUUCUUUCAAUCAUGUCAAUCAAUUAAUGAAUAUCUACAAAUCCGGCUUGCUUCCAAGUUGAAAGUAUUCAACACAACAUCAUGGUCAAAUAAAAAACAUAUUAUUAAGAUUUUCAACAAAUAAAAAAAUAUUUCAAAGCAAUACUAGUACAGGUGGAGAGGUACUCCUGCAGACCCCUUCUUCACUUGUCCAAAUUAAGUUGAAGGCUGCUCAUUUAUAUCGAAUUUACUGUGUUAGCAUUUACAUUUACAUUUUACAUCAAAUUUACAUCGAAUAUACUAGUUUGCUGAUAUUCAUGAAUAUGUUUGCUGAUAUUAGCACUACAGUAGAAGGCCUGUGACGCCCCCAAAAUAGGUCCAUUCCACCCAACCCAUUCUGAGUCGCCAAAUACAUGGUACAGAAAUAAC